UGUCCGGAGCACGGGAGCCCCGCACGGGGCUGAGAGGGCGCAGGAGCCGACCGUCGAACCUGAUCUGGGUCAUGCCAGCGAAGGGAGCGCACAUGCACCAGCA
rnacentral:ncRNA from 2 species